GACGAACCGUGCGAACGUUAUUCGGAAUCACUGGGCUUAAAGCCCGUGUAGGCGGGUCUCCGCGUCGGCUGCUGAAAUCCCCCGGCUCAACCGGGGAACGGGCACCGAUACGGGCGGCCUCGAGGGGGGUAGGGGGACCUGGAACUUCCGGUGGAGCGGUGAAAUGCGUUGAGAUCGGAAGGAACGCCCGUGGCGAAAGCGAGGUCCUGGACCCUUUCUGACGCUGAGACGCGAAAGCCAGGGGAGCGAACGGG
rnacentral:rRNA from 1 species